UGUACAUGUAUGGUAUUAUUCACCCUGUCAAUUAAGUUUGCAUGCAAGACAAUAGCCCAGACAAGAAAGCUGGUAUGAAAUUUGGAGAUGAAACUAGGCAUGUCAAACCUACCCCCUUCCCGCAUUAGAACGAAGCGGCCCGCGGGGCCGUAAAUGUUUUUAAAAUAAUCUUAAAAAUCAACCGCUUGAAUAAUGCCAAUCAAAAUCGUUGUCUAUAAUCUAUGGAAUGUUGACUACGAUACUAUCUGAUUUUUAGUUGACAAUAUCCAUAUAAUAAGGAGCUAAAAAUCAUAAAAGUUGGAGAUACAGCCGGAAAAAUGCCCCGUUUUGACGCCGCGCACGCGGCACGCUAUUUCGAAGGCCGCCCGGCGGAGAUGCAAUUUUCAACUCAAAAGCCACAAGCCGCCGUGCAUCGGAGAACUCUGGGAAUGAUUCCAGGUGAAAGGGCAGAGAUGAAGGUUCACUCCAGUGGUUGCACAAUUUUGCUACGUCAUUCCUGGCGGAAGUUAUGGGCCAGAGUAGGGAAACCUCCGAAAUUGACACAAAAGGGACAUAUCCUGGGCAGAUCAGCGGAAACAGCAAAAUAGAGACUUGUCAAAACUGUUCACCAGAGACAAGGCUGCAGACACCGAGACAACAGAUCAAGUUUUGACACGUCAUGUUUGGAGUUGCAAUAAUUGGUGACGAACAUUGAAAGUUAUUUGAUCUUAUUGUUUUGAUUUUUAAAGAAGAAAAGCUAAGUUAAGAGAAACUGAAUAGAAAAGCAACCUACUAAUAAUAAUCAGAAAGUUACUUGAACUAAACAGUUAUUUUUUAGAAUGGGUAAAACAUGUAUGCAUACUAAUUAGCACUUACUAUUACUAAUGUCAUUAAUUACGAUGUUAAUUAGGACAACUGCUAAUUAAGCAUUUGAUUGUUAAAAGUUCUUUAAAGUAACAUGCAAUUUACAUCUGUACAACCCAUUUAAGUAUGCCUACAACAUAAAUGUGAUUAAAAGCCAAUGUGUGGAUAGUUUUCACCAUAUAUGUAUCAUUAGCAUAUUGCUAAUUAGCAUAAAUUCUUAAUUAUUUAUUGAUUUUCCUAAAAGUGUGGAUACAUUCCUGUACUUACGUGAACAUGCAAUAUAGGUUAGCACUGUCUAGUUUUAUUUCAGGGAAUAUGUAAUUCAAAUAUGGGCAAGUGAUACAAUUACAUGUGUUGUUGGAAGUACUUUAGGGUAAUAACCCUCAUUUGCAUAUUUUGUAAUUAAUGAAAACUACAAAAAUACUUCAUUUUUUAAUGAUUAGUCUUACUUUGAAUUAGAAACGUGAAGUUCUUUCUUAAGCUUGUAGCAUGUUUAAGAAAUACAGAUUAAUUGAAUGGUACUAUUGUGGAUGAGUAGAUUAAUUAGGGUUAAUUAGGAUUAAUUAAUACAAAGUAAUGAUGAUAUGUCGAGAAAACAAUAUUAUAGUCUGUCCAGUAAUAUUAUCUUCAUGUGCUGAAAAUUUGAAGAACAUUUGUUAAAGCGUUUGGAAGAUACAUUAAAAAGUGUGUAAAUAAC